rnacentral:rRNA from 1 species
AGUCACUGACAUUAGAUACCCCGGUAGUCCCAGCCGUAAACUAUGCUCGCUAGGUGUCAGGGACGGUGCGACCGUUUCUGGUGCCGCAGGGAAGCCGUGAAGCGAGCCACCUGGGAAGUACGGUCGCAAGGCUGAAACUUAAAGGAAUUGGCGGGGGAGCACUACAACGGGUGGAGCCUGCGGUUUAAUUGGACUCAACGCCGAAAAACUCACCAGGAGCGACGGAUAUAUGAAGGUCAAGCUGAUGACUUUACCUGAUUUUCCG